CAGAGUAUUUCAAAGGAAUUAUUAAGGAUAACUAGCAAAUUUAUAACAAAAGGAGGAGUAAUCCAAAAGCCAUAAAUUUAGUAAAAAGUGAAUAUUAAUAGUAUUCAUUAAAUAUUAAAUAUAAAAUAUUAUGGCGAUCCUAAGGGAAACCUUAACUAUAAACACUUCCUGAAGCAAAACAUUGUAUUAGGGAAAGGAAAGGAAAUCAACCGAGACUCCGAAAGUAAUGGUGAGUGAAAUCGGAUUAGCCUAAAAAAGAAGUAAUUUGAAUAGAAUAAUUAUUAAUACAAUAAUUAUAUUUUAAUUUAAUAACAAUUAAAUUAAUUUAUUUUAAAUUUAUUAUAAAUAUUCUAAUAUAUACCUAAAUAGUAUGUAUCCAAAGAAGGUAUAAAGUCCUGUAAAAUUAUUUCUUUAAAUACAAAAACAAGUACGAUGAGAGAAACCUUGUCGGAAUAUAGGGGUACCAUCCUCUAAGGCUAAGUAUUAUAAAUUUAGCGAUAGUGAAAAGUACUGUAAAGGAAAAGUUGAAAAGAAAGUUGUAUAACAAAGUGAAAUAGACUUGAAUUAGUAAUUCUAUAAGCAGUCGAAGUUUUAAAACAAAAUGACGGCGUACCUUUUGCAUAAUGGGUCAGCAAGUUAAUGGGAGUAGCAAGGUUAAAAGCCCUAGCGAAAGCGACUAGACUAAUAGUUUUUAAUAUUAUUAUUAAAAUAUUUUUAUUAAUUAAAAAUAGGAUAAUUUCCUUAAUAAUUUAUUUAUUAAUUUAAAAAAUUAAAAAGUGGAUUAUUUACUAAAAAUUAGUGUUGGAUAAGUUACUUCUAUUAGACCCGAAGCCAGUUGAUCUUUCCAAGACCAGAUUAUAAUGGAUCGAACGGGUGAAUGUUGCAUAAUUCUCCGAAGAGUUUUGGAAAGCGGUGAAAUGCCAAUCUGAACUGGUGAUAGCUGGUUUUCUACGAAACAUAUUUAAGUAUGACAUCUAUUCAAAAUUUAUGGAGGUACAGCACGGUAAUUCCCAACUAAUAAUAAAUUGAAUAAUUUCAACUUUAUUAAGCGUUUAGGUUGCGGGGACCUCGAAAAUCUUACCAAUGGAAGCGAAACUCGGAAUUACAUAAAUUGUUGAUAGAUAUUCAGACUGCUCAUGCUAAGUUGGGUAGUCAAGACGGAAACAGCCGAGAACAAGGAUCAAGGUCCCUAAUGAUUAUUAAGUGAAAUUAAGGAAGUAACAAAUUGAAUGCAGCUGUAAAGUGAGCCUGGUAGUCGCUAUCUUUUAAUGACCGUUGUAACAACGUAGCAGCCCUUAGAUUGUUGCGCCGAAAAUUUAACGGGUCUAAAUGAUCAACCGAUAUCUUGUUGAUUAUGAAUAUUAUAAAACAAAAACAUUUUAUUCUUAAUCUAGGUAGUAGAACAUUCAGUCUAACUAAUGAAAAACAGUGUUUCAUUGUUUUGAGGUAACUGAAGAGAGAAUGCUGACAUGAGUAACGUAAAAAGAAGUUAUAAUACUUCUCGCCGAAUACGAAAGGGUUGUAAAGAAAGGUUAAACCUCUUUAUGUUAAUGCGGCCUCUAAGGUUUAAAGCGAAAGCUUUAACUGAUGAGUAAAACACUGAAAGUCCAUAUGGAAAUGGACCAGGAAAAAUAAGUGUUAAAUUUAAUAACUAAAUUUAUUAAACUAAAAAUAGUAUUAAAAUAUAAACUACCGUACCCUAAACCGACACAGGUUCGUAGGUAGAGUAUACUAAGGCGAAGAGCUAAAAGUUGUUAAGGAACUCGGCAAGUUCUCCUGCAUCAUAAGUUUGACAAUAAGAGGAACCAUUAAUAAUAAUAUUAGCCAUAAUAUUAUUUAAUUAAAGGUAUAAUAAAAUCGGAGGCCCCGACUGUUUACUAAAAACACAAUUCAGAGCAAUGAUUAAUAUCAUAGUAUUCUGGAUGAAAUUUGCCCAAUGCCAUUAAUAUAAGAGAGGUAAUAGGUAACUGUUACUAAUCGAAAGUCUGGUUAAUAGCGGUCUUAACUAUGAGGAUCCAAAGGUAGCAAAAUAAAUUGGCCAUUAAAUGUGGUCUUGUAUCAAUAAUGUAACGAUGGUCUCACUGUCUCUACAACUUGCUCAGUGAAAUUGAAUUACCCGUGCAGAUGCGGGUUACCUCCAGGGGGACGGGAAGACCCUAUGCAGCUUUACUGUAGUUAGUUAUCAUAUUGAUUAUGAAUUUAAUUAAUAGUAAUUAGGUAUGUCGAGAGACGAUAAUUGGAAAACCUUAGAAUUAAAUUUGGAUCAAUGUUCACCUUAUUUUUUUAAAGGGAGAGUUGACUAAUUGGCAGUUUGACUGGGGCGGUCGUCUUUAAUAAAGUAGCAAAGUACAUCCAAAUAUUUCAUUUUUAUAAAUAUCUAUUUAUUUUUUUAAUAAUUAGAAUAUACACACAAAAAAUUUUUUGUUAAAACAGUUUAAUUUUAUAAUUUUAUUUUUUUUAUAAGGUAUGCUAGAAAUUGAAUGGAGAUCAAUUAACCAGUGAAAGGUUAUGGAGAGCGUAAUGGCGGAAAGCAUGCUUAACUGAAAGACUUAGAAGUCGUACAGAUACGUAAGUAGGGCAUAGUGACCCCUCGCUAUAAUAUGGAAUAGACGGGGAUCAAUCGAUAAAAGUUACGCUAGGGAUAACAGGCUGAUAGCCGGCGAGAGUACACAUUGUCCCGGCUGUUUGGCACCUUAAAUUAUUUUGUAUAAUUUUUUAUAUAAAUCGGGGAUUUUAAAUAGUAAUAUUUAAUUAGAAGUUGGCUAUAUGCUGGAACCCCCUUAGAGCUUUAAAUACUAUUACUUUUUUUAAUUUUUAAUUUAAAUAAUAAUAAUAAAAAAAAUUUACAGUGAAAAUUUUAAAGAUUGGGCAAUCAGCAGGGAAGUUAUUUAGAAUAAGUAAUAGCUACUGUUAAAACUAUCUAACCCCUCAACGACUAUACGCCAACAUCCAGAUGCUUAAUUAAUUGUAUUCUUAAUGCUGGAUGAAGAUAUAGUCUAAACUUAUCUGAAAAGUUAAGAAUUUUAGUUUAGAAUUAAAUUAAAACAAAUAGCGAUGUCGACUCAUCCUAUCCUCCGGGGGAAGAAGCUUGGAAGGGUUCGGCUGUUCGCCGAUUAAAAGGGUACGCGAGUUGGGUUUAAUACGACGUGAGUCAGUAUGGUCCCUAUCUUCUGGAGGGAUAAAUAGUAAAAAGGGGCAGACCUUCUAGUACGAAAGGAUCAAUAGGCUGUGUUUCUCUAGUGUACCAAUUGUUGAAAAUAAAAUAAUUUUAUUAGUAUGCAUAGUUGGGUAGCCACAAACAUAAUAGAUAAGCGCUGAAUGUAUAUUAAGCAAGAAACUAACCCCUAGAUACUAUCAUCAGUUUAUUGUUAAUAAUAUUUUUUAUUAUUUUUAAGCUGAUUUUAUAAGAAAUAGAACAUUUCUAAAUAGGAUGCAAAUGAAAAUAUUGUGAAGUAUUUAGUUUAGCAUUACUAAUUUAUUAAAUAGACUUGA
rnacentral:rRNA from 1 species